ACGAACGCUGGCGGCGUGCUUAACACAUGCAAGUCGAGCGGUAAGGCCCUUCGGGGUACACGAGCGGCGAACGGGUGAGUAACACGUGGGUGAUCUGCCCUGCACUUCGGGAUAAGCCUGGGAAACUGGGUCUAAUACCGGAUAUGAGCCUCCACUGCAUGGUGGGGGUUGGAAAGGUUUACUGGUGCAGGAUGGGCCCGCGGCCUAUCAGCUUGUUGGUGGGGUAAUGGCCUACCAAGGCGACGACGGGUAGCCGGCCUGAGAGGGCGACCGGCCACACUGGGACUGAGACACGGCCCAGACUCCUACGGGAGGCAGCAGUGGGGAAUAUUGCACAAUGGGCGAAAGCCUGAUGCAGCGACGCCGCGUGAGGGAUGACGGCCUUCGGGUUGUAAACCUCUUUCAGCAGGGACGAAGCGAGAGUGAC
rnacentral:rRNA from 1 species